AAAAAAAAAAAACGCCCAAAGGAAGCGUGAUUAAUGAGCGCCGUUCACCUGAACCUGGAUCUUUGCACCUGCAGGAUCUGCUUUCUUGGAGCUGUGGAGACCUGCUGGGACUGCAGCAAAAAAUACGCAAGGCUUGUCAAGGGCAAGCGACUCGAUACGCCACCAGCUAGCCAAAAUGAAUUCCUCCAUCGACAGACGCGCGUCUCCGUGCGCCGAUAAAGGCGGCCAGCCUAUAGAGCCAUUGACAGGAUGAUGGAGGGAGAGACGAGGAGAAGGUGAUGACGGAGAUGACAUCAUGUGACCAAUGGCUUGUCUUGACCUGCUGCAUCUGCCAGACGCCUCAUAAAGUACAUCUCCGCCAUCGAAUGACACACACCCAUAUAUACAUAUGAUUGCUAAUGUUUUGACCUUCAAAUGCACGUAGGUUGUUAGGAAACGGUGGCAAGGUAUGCGAGAGGCAAACGAGCAGAGGGUUAGGUGUGAGAGAGGAUGACUGUCUCGUCCACUACUCACCUUGUAGAUCAUCCCGCGCUUCUGCCCAAACUGGCUUCUCCUCCAUGAGGCAGUCCCGCUUGGCCCGACAUGACCACACAAAGACAUGUGAAGAGGGGAGGCCGCUUUAUUAUCAGGUCGGAGGCCUAGAGAGGCAAGAGGAUGGGUAGAAGGGCUGUGGCCUCCAGCUCUAUCCAUCACACACGUCCUGACCUUGGCUUGACCCGAGCGUGGCAGCCAAUGAGGCGCCAUCUUCUCCCUCCAAACCCUCGCACGCACUUAUCUAGCCCCACGUUCGCAUCGAAGGGAUCGGGUGACACCGAGUGGAGGCUGGAUGCUCUUUGUGUCGCCCCGUCGCUCCUUCGUGUCUUUGUUUUUUUACGUGACUAAUGUGAGUAACAACACCUGACAAACAGGCUGUUGAUCCUGUCUCCUCUCUCAGGCUUGUGCCCCCUCCCACCACCCCCAACACCCUGCGAGGAAAAGCUUUGUUGGUCACAAUAGGAAAACAGUAGCGCGGUCCUCCAUCCAUCUCCAUAGAUUCCUAUUGUGAGGAGAUGACGUGUCAUUUCGCCGGCAAAAUGCUACAUGCUAAUGCUGAGAAAUGAAGCACAUGCUUUCUCAGGGCUACUAUAGGGGCCCUUUACCAGAUACAAAAAGUGGCUGCGUUCUCCUUAUCUUCAUAUUUAUACCAUAUAGUAUUAAUUUUUAACAUUUCACCUGUAAUCAAACCCAACAACACCACCAAAAAAAAAAAAAAAAAAAGUCACUUCCAAUGCGACUGAUGUUUUGAACACACCCAUCACCACCCCCAGCAACUCUGCCGUGUCAUUCAAGCAUGGCCUUGCAGUUUAACCACUGCAAACAAACCGAUGGGCGGUGUUGUCGUUGCUGUGACAACCUCACAAACAAUCUCGGAGUAAAGUCUCCGUUUUGUUAGGCAGAGAUUGUGCCUUGCUUCAUCUGAAAAGGCUUUGGAGUCAAAGGGUCACGGUUCAAGUUGUGGCAGAAAUGCGAUUCUGCAACCUGGCUGCUGUUGACGUGCCCUUGAGCAAGAGGGGGCAGUACGAUCUGACGUCUCUCCUUGCAUGCCUGAAUGUGUGUGAUUUUUUAAUUUUUUUUUUGCGAGAGAGAGCGCGAGCGUUAAUGAUUUAUCUUAUGCAACGCAUCAAAUAGGAUCAAAUCUUUCCCCUUGGCAGCGACCUACGACGUUCUGCUUCCUUCCGUACAUUUGUGCCUUUGGUUACUCUGCAAGGCUGUUAAACACACACAGCUGAGCCACGGCCUCUACCUCCUGAACUGCAACGCCAGCAGCGCUCUUGUCAAUAACACUCUGCAGCCUGAGCCAAGACUUUGAUAUGGAGGACCUGGGGCUUUGUUCUCCUGACGGCUGAAGUAGCACGUGUUGCCACAUAGCCUGGAGCCCAUAAUUGCUAACAUAUCGCAUGAGAGGAAAAAAAAAAAAAACUACAUUGCCUUACUCCAUACACAGAUCCAAACGCACAAGGCCCAGGGCAGAAAAGAAGAUGAAAUGUCUACAUGUUGGUGAGUGUUUGGAUCUUGGCGUGUUUGUCCGGAUGCUUUAGCUCACCUGUGAGCCACCUGUCUGCUCCGUGUACAAGAAGAGCAAUGGCGCUCACGCGAGCACUAGAAACACAACCUGGGAGGGAUUUGCCAGCCAUUUGUGCACUCACCGACACAAAAUGGCAUCGCUCGACCUUUGACGGUCAUUUACAAGAAGUGACAAAGGCGCUCACUUAUCAUCGGUCUGCUGGAUUUAAACGUUCCACGAAUAUGAUUUUGUUUCGUGAACUAUUCAUGUUGGUUAAAUGUGAUUUUGACGCUUUCGUUUUAUACAGAACCAGCAUACUAUUUUUUUUAUUAUUAUUAUUAUUAUUUUUUUUUUAGUACAGUUACUCAUUGAGUAUUUUUUUGCCUGAAUACUUCAGUGAUUAUUUGGUGGGCUGCCUUUUGGUUUGAUUGAAGGCAAAUUAUUCCAAAGUAACAGUGUCCUGACGUCAGUAUAAUUUUCAGCUACUUGACCCACUUUUUU